rnacentral:rRNA from 1 species
UCGAACGGACAGGUAAUGAAACCUAGUGAUUUAUCUGUUAGUGGCGGACGGGUGAGUAACGCGUGGGUAACCUGCCGUAUACAGGGGGAUAACACUUAGAAAUAGGUGCUAAAACCGCAUAAGCGCACAGGAUCGCAUGGUCCGGUGUGAAAAACUCCGGUGGUAUACGAUGGACCCGCGUCUGAUUAGCUUGUUGGCGGGGUAGAGGCCCACCAAGGCGACGAUCAGUAGCCGGCCUGAGAGGGUGAACGGCCACAUUGGGACUGAGACACGGCCCAAACUCCUACGGGAGGCAGCAGUGGGGAAUAUUGCACAAUGGGGGAAACCCUGAUGCAGCGACGCCGCGUGAGUGAAGAAGUAUUUCGGUAUGUAAAGCUCUAUCAGCAGGAAAGAAAAUGACGGUACCUGACUAAGAAGCCCCGGCUAACUACGUGCCAGCAGCCGCGGUAAUACGUAGGGGGCAAGCGUUAUCCGGAUUUACUGGGUGUAAAGGGAGCGUAGACGGUGAAGCAAGUCUGAAGUGAAAGGCGGGGGCUCAACCCCCGGACUGCUUUGGAAACUGUUUGACUGGAGUGCAGGAGAGGUAAGUGGAAUUCCUAGUGUAGCGGUGAAAUGCGUAGAUAUUAGGAGGAACACCAGUGGCGAAGGCGGCUUACUGGACUGUAACUGACGUUGAGGCUCGAAAGCGUGGGGAGCAAACAGGAUUAGAUACCCUGGUAGUCCACGCGGUAAACGAUGAUCACUAGGUGUCGGUGAGUAUAGACUCAUCGGUGCCGUCGCAAACGCAGUAAGUGAUCCACCUGGGGAGUACGUUCGCAAGAAUGAAACUCA